UACGGGGGGGGCUAGCGUUGUUCGGAAUUACUGGGCGUAAAGGGCGCGUAGGCGGUCUGCUAAGUUGGAUGUGAAAACUCUGGGCUUAACCCAGAGCCUGCAUUCAAUACUGACAGGCUAGAGUUCUGGAGGGGAUAGCGGAAUUCCUGGUGUAGCGGUGAAAUGCGCAGAUAUCAGGAAGAACACCAAUGGCGAAAGCAGCUUUCUGGGACGGUACUGACGCUGAGACGCGAAAGCGUGGGGAGCGAACAGG
rnacentral:rRNA from 1 species